CAGUAGCCGCGGUAAUACGUAGGGUGCAAGCGUUAAUCGGAAUUACUGGGCGUAAAGCGUACGCAGGCGGUUAUAUAAGUCAGAUGUGAAAUCCCCGGGCUCAACCUGGGAACUGCAAUUGAGACUGUAUGGCUAGAGUGUGUCAGAGGGGGGGUAGAAUUCCACGUGUAGCAGUGAAAUGCGUAGAGAUGUGGAGGAAUACCGAUGGCGAAGGCAGCCCCCUGGGCCAAUACUGACGCCCAUGCACGAAAGCGUGGGGAGCAAACAGGAUUAGAUACCCCCGUAGUCCCUGUCUCUUAUA
rnacentral:rRNA from 1 species